rnacentral:rRNA from 1 species
AUUGAACGCUGGCGGCAGGCCUAACACAUGCAAGUCGAACGAGUGGCGGACGGGUGAGUAAUGUCUGGGAAACUGCCUGAUGGAGGGGGAUAACUACUGGAAACGGUAGCUAAUACCGCAUACCAUCGGAUGUGCCCAGAUGGGAUUAGCUAGUAGGUGGGGUAAAGGCUCACCUAGGCGACGAUCCCUAGCUGGUCUGAGAGGAUGACCAGCCACACUGGAACUGAGCAAAGGUCCAGACGCGCACGGGAGGCAGCAGUGGGGAAUAGUGCAAAAUGGGCGCAAGCCUGAUGUAGCCAUGGCGCGUGUAUGAAGAAGGCCUUCGGGUUGUAAAGUACUUGCAGCGGGGAGGCGUUACUCGCAGAAGAAGCACCGGCGAACUCCGGGCCAGCAGCCGCGGUAAUAC